AUUAUUGAAACUGUGUCGAUACGAUACGAUAAGACACAGCCAUAUCUUAUCGCAAUUCGAUGUCUUAUCGGGUUGCUUUAAACUUUCAAUAAUCGGCCCACCGGAUUGCCCAGAACUAGGCUCCUUUUCGAGAUGAAGAAUGAAGAGGUGCGCUCUCUAACCACCCUCCUAACAUGAAGCUCCUUUUUCCACCCAUGGAGGACGAAGGUGCAGUAUGAAAUCAGUUAUGAAAUAGCGAUGAAAUAUUAUUUGAAGUGUACUAUUGUGGCGGAGUGUACAAAUAAUAUCGAAGCCUGGACGUACAAAAUCUGUACAACAGAAUGUGAAAGCAACUCCGUGUUCUGGGCGUCCCGUUGGUUGCCUUGGAUAGUAGGUAGGAGUGGGGGCGAAUUCCUGUUGCUGGUGGCUCCAUCGCUCCUCGAUUUAGCCAGUUUGUUUUCCUCUCGCUGCUGUUAUCAGACGUGUCGCGAAGCGCUUGCUUAACGCCAUCGUAGACAGUGUCGAAGUGAUAAGUUUUUGUGUCGUGAAACUUUGGAUAAUCCUUAUUUUGUGUGGUGUUUUUGUGUGUUGAACAGCAGACAACUAUAUCGUCUUUUGGAUUGCCAAGAAUGUAAAGGAAAGGAAGCUAUGUAUCCAAAGAAGCAACAUGUGUCAAUAGAAGCUGGAAAGACGUAUAGGAGAAAUGCAUCCGUCUAAGAGACGGGACAAACGACACGAUUUGCAUUCACAGCCACUGCCGCCGCCCAGAUGAGGGCCAGCAUAACGCCGCACAUCAAUGGAGCUCUGCUAUUGGCCUUCUCGUUCUGGCUGGGGAGACUGGGGGACUGCCGGAGUGCGAACAACGACUUCUUCGACAACAUCCCGGUGGACAACAGCCCGUGGCAGCCGAUCACGGCCAACCGGGACGCGCCGAGGCCCUCAUCGCCCAAGUUCCCGCCCGUCCGCUACCCCAACGUCCCCAACCACCCGCCACCGCAACCCCAAUGGCUCGCCCCUUCAACCGCCCACCGGCGCCCACCACGGAGAAGUUCCCCAAACCCAAGUUCCCGUCCUCGGUCGACGGCUAUAAGUCUUACUCCCCCGGGCCGCUCUACAACCCGAACAAGGACUUCUUCGACUCGCAGCCCCCUUCAGCCCUUUCGACGACCUGAGGCCCAAGCCCACGAAAGAGGCGCCCAGACCCCGGCCGACGACGCCCCCCGCCUUCGACGCUUUCGCCGACUCCCGCAAGAAGCUCAAGUUCCCCCCGCCGACCGGGAGCAGCGAGAAGCUCAACUCCCUCAAGACCGCUGGGCGCUACCCGCCGCUGGAAACGGAGCAGAACGCGGUGGCCAACGAGACGGAAGCGCACGCGAACAAGCGGGGGCAGUCCAAGUUCCACCAGAACAGCGUGGCCGUGCGGGAGGCGCCGCCGGGGCAGCGGGGCGCCCAGAACCGGACGAAGGCGCCGGCGCCCGCGGCGAACGAGCUGAAGCCGCAGACGCACGUCGUCUACAGCAACACGCCCAGCUGGUGGACGACGCGCCCAUUGACGAGGAGCUCCACCCGAAGGACUUCGUGCCGGGCAACAUCAUCAGCCAGAUCACGUCCGUGCGCGGGAGACCCACGACGACGACGACGAAGCCGAGCGACAAUUCGACGGAGCGACCGCCGCCCAACGAGCUGGCCAACACGGUGCCCAUCCUCGACGCGGAGAGGCCGCCCGCCUCCGAGGAGACCAGCGGCGAGGCCAAAAGGAAGUUCCCGUUCCGGCGACCGCAGAUCCUCACGACCAUCUCGACGGAGCGACCCACCACGCAGGAGCCCCCAAGAAGGUCGACGCUGAAAAACAGCCUGAAAAACCGGAUCAAGCUUCGAACCUCAACGGAGGUGAGCGCGGAGGUGACGGAGCCGACGAUCCAAGUGAAGAACCACAAGGAGGACGCCGCGCAGCCGCAGUCGAACGACAUCCCGCUGAAGGCGCCCCGGCCCACGGUGGACUACACCCGGAGGCGCCCCACGCGGCCGCCCGGGCAGGACGCCCCACCCAGCGGCUGGGCGCUCGCCUCCUUCAAGAACUUCACGAGCCGCACCACGAGGCGCCCGCCGACCACGGAGGCGUCCCCCGUCGCCAUCACCGAGCCGCCGGCCAAAGUCAAGCCCUUCGUCGCUUGGUCCACCAGGCUCCAGAAGAUGACGACCACAGAGAGCACUGCUACAGACAUGACCACAAUGAUGGAAGAUGAAAUGGAAGUGACAACUUUUGCCCCUGACACCUUGAAAUAUGCUAGUGUUGUGAGCAGCUCACCAAGCACCAUAAGUGCCUUCAAAGACUCAUUCAAUAGCAGCAGAGUCAUUGACCGAGUGCCUUCCACAAAUUUGACUCUAAACAAGACAGUUUCCACAGAAGAAGCAAACACUAUUAGAAUAAGUACAAAUGACAAAAACCCUGCCAAUAGUAAUAGGAAUGAUGAAAAAAUGAAAGAAGACGUUACAAACCCUGAUGGUAAUGAAAAAGUUACGGAGGAAACGGACAGUUUAGAAAAUGAAGGGAGCACGGGUUUACAUGAGUUGAGUGAUGUUGAUGUCAAAAUGGUUGCAAACGAAAACAAAGGCUCCAAAGAUUUUAAUGUCACCUCUACAUCACCAUCAGUAUUAUCAACUUCAAAAAUGAAAAACGAAGUGAUGAGUGACAAAUACACUGAGGCAGAACAAAAUCCCAGUAAUCCUAAGGAAUCGCCUGCUAGUGACGAUUUUGGGAAACCAACUGAAAAGUUUUCAAUUGCCAAUGACGAGGUAGAAUUUGUUGAGGCUUCAAAUGACAGUAAUGCGCAUGGGUUGGACGAAUCAAAUGAUCUCAAACCAAAACCUCUGGAAACCGUCUAUCUCACCGAUGUAAAGCCAGAAGUUGUCGCGCCAGUAAAUUCUAUCAAAGAGUCGGAAGUUUCUUCAACGAAUUCCACCUCGAAAGCUAAUAGCUCUGAAACGCAUAUUUCUGUUACUCCCACACCUAUUUCUUAUUACCAAAACAAUUCUAGUCAGUCAAAUGAAUUAAAUACCGAAAUUGAGUUUGGUACUCUCAAAGGUGCGUCUAGUCAAGACCUCGGUGAUACCAAAAAUCACCCACCGACUUCAGAUAUUCCUAACGGGAUCAAAGAAACCCAGCAAUAUCAUGAGGGAGGCUUGAAUAAAAGUCACCAGUCAGCCUUAGACAUGCUCAACAGGAUAAAAGGAACCAACGAAUAUCCAACAGAAACAGAAGGAAUGUUUGAGGUGUCCUUCGACUUGCCUGCUGUUGUUAGUCCGUCCACCGAGAGAAGCAAGCUUCCUGACGUAAGUGUGUCUAAGAAAUACGCCCAGUCAACAGCCAGUGAGCCGUAUUCUAAUAGUGAGACUUCAAGUCACUCAUCACCAAGUCAUUUCAAUGAAGAAACUACAUACCAGUAUUCAACAAAUGUACCCAAUGUUUCCGAGGAAGAGAUCCCAGAUUUCGAGUUUUCAUCAAUGAAGCCUCACCUCAGCUCCGAACUGGGUGAAAACCCACUGAACACUGAUUUAUCUACUACAGAAGACAUGGUCCAAUCUGUGAUGAAUUUGACAAGCUCAAUCUCUAGUUUCGAAAUGACACCUCAAGGCGGACUCCCUCAGAGUUUAACACCCUCACCCAGCACCCCCAUGACUACCACAAUGAGUGUUCAGUUUUUGACUCCGGCCUCUGCAAAAACUUCAUUGCCAGAGAAAGACAUUUUUAGCAGAGAAAAGAGCACCACAACUACUAGUGUGACCUCUAAUUUGGGAGACAAAACAGGAAAACCUGUCUCAGCUAAGUGGCCUGUGUUCGCCACUUCAGAGACCACCCAUGAGCCCUCGAGCAAAAUUGAGCUAACCACCAUGAAAACUUCAAUCACAACCUCACCUUUCUCUACCACCAUGAAAGUGGUAACAAGCACCAAGAAAAAUGAGAAUAUUAUACCCCAGUUCCUGAUAAAUUGGACGAGAAUAAUGCCACUGAUGAAGACGCCUACAUCGAAACGGAUAGUGAACAAGACCUCUUUUCACCAACCCCGACAAAAAUUGUGA
rnacentral:lncRNA from 1 species